UACGUAGGGUGCGAGCGUUGUCCGGAAUUAUUGGGCGUAAAGAGCUUGUAGGUGGUUUGUCGCGUCUGCUGUGAAAAUCCGAGGCUCAACCUCGGACUUGCAGUGGGUACGGGCAGACUAGAGUGUGGUAGGGGAGACUGGAAUUCCUGGUGUAGCGGUGGAAUGCGCAGAUAUCAGGAGGAACACCGAUGGCGAAAGGCAGAUCUCCUGGGCCGUAAACUG
rnacentral:rRNA from 1 species